UACGAAGGGGGCUAGCGUUGCUCGGAAUCACUGGGCGUAAAGGGCGCGUAGGCGGCCUGCUAAGUCGGACGUGAAAUCCCCGAGCUCAACUCGGGAACUGCGUCCGAUACUGGCAGGCUUGAAUCCGGGAGAGGGAUGCGGAAUUCCAGGUGUAGCGGUGAAAUGCGUAGAUAUCUGGAGGAACACCGGUGGCGAAGGCGGCAUCCUGGACCGGCAUUGACGCUGAGGCGCGAAAGCCAGGGGAGCAAACGGG
rnacentral:rRNA from 1 species